AAACAUAUUCUCCGUACAUAAACAUAAACAAACGCGCGACCUUUGAGGUAACUAAUAUGGCGUUUGAUGAUUUUGUUGACAGGAACUCUCAAGCAAAACUUAAAGGCAUAUUUUUAGUUACCCAAGUUUGGUCUAAUACGCUCUGGGAUACUUACAUCUACUAUUAGUCAAAGUAUGCGUGUCGAGUACUGAAAAGCGAAGCAAAAUCUUCGCCCCCUUGUGACUGGCUAUGGAAACGGUUUCUGUCACUCAGGUCUAUUAUGAGAUCACAUCAAAGAAAACUGGGAUUGGACUCAUUAUGACGCAUGAUGAACUGAUAACCACAACUGACUCAUACUUAUUAUAGUUAUGUAUCCGAUCUUCGGUGGACAUUCUGUUUAUUUUCUGAAUCUCUGAGGCUCCCUGUAAUCAACAUUAGUGUUUAAAUCAUGUUCAGCAGUUACAAAUUCACUAUUCUCGACACAUAUAUUAGUUGAUUUUAUGUGUGUUUAGACGUGUCUCUAGGGAGACCAACCUAGUGGGUAUCAUAAACCCUUUUUAUUUUUGUAAAAUAAGUUUAUUUUAGAGUCUAUUAACUUCCUCUUUUUGCAUCAUUUAACAUUAUUGUCACUUUUGAUGGGUAUCUUGUUUCCAGCUGUCUGUUUCUCACCUCUGCUGAGCAUAUAUGCUUGCCGUAUUUCCGAUGGAAACAAAGAUACAAAGAGCAACUCUUGUUGUGUUUAGCUAGAGGGAUGAAACUAGCGCAAGGCAAGGUAAUAGAGCCUAAAGUGCCAACAGAAAAGUGGUUUUAGACUGCAUGAAACAAGUUAAUAAUUAGUCUUUUACAUUUUUUAUUUUAUAUUUAAACAGUGUCUAUUUUCACCCUCAAAUGCAAGGCCUCAUGCUGUGUUAAGAUUGCAGUUUUGUUAGCAAAUCCAAAAACAAGUCUGAAGUCCAAAGGAUGAGGUGUCAUACUCAAAACUAAUAUGCCAUUGGCCAAGCCACCAAAAUUGCUACUAUCGUUCAUUUUAAUUAAUUUAGUAUCAUCAACAUUAAUAUGGUAAUGUCGUUUUCUAUAUGAUUGCAAAAAAAAAAAAAAAAAAAAA